GUUCUUGUGCACCAGAGAUGGAAACAACUUUUUCCUUGUUGCCAUGUGGUGAAGGUAUACUUAGAAGUUAUGAGAUCAAUGGUAAAGAAGACGGCCUACUUGCUAAGCUGAUGGCGGUUCAUUUGCAUGUACUGGCAAUGGAACAAUGGAACGCUUCCAAACUUAAAAUGUCCCACAAAAAAUACUUGGUCAGUGCGACAAACCUGAUUCAUUAUUUGGCCUUGAAAAGCGUCAACAUAGAGCAGCUUAAAGAAGAACUUUCUUCCAUUUGUUUCCUGAAUUUAGACACAAUAAAUCAACAUGUUCUAGCAAGUCUUUCUGCAGGCAUCCGGCUGUUAGAUAAUGUAAAAUAUGAUUCUUCAAGUCAUAGUAUCUCUUAUAGUGAAGGAAUCUCUUCAACAAAAAGUCUGGACAAACAAAUGAAGGGGGAAUUUUCUAUCAAUACACUAAGGAGGAGGGCAUCCCAUACUGCGGACCUGUUAUUGGGCAGAUUGCCAGAGAAGAGAAACACUCAUAUCAUGGUAACAGUGGGUGAAGAAGCUAUAGAAAGUGAAACAUUAAUAAAAGAUCUUCUAAAUGCUGGAACUACCAUUGUUCGUAUCAAUUGUGCUCAUGGAAGCCCUGAAACUUGGAGUGAGAUUAUCAGAAAGGUGAAAAGAAGCUCUCAAAUUCUGGAAAAGCCUUGUCGAAUUCUCAUGGACUUAGCUGGGCCCAAGCUUCGAACUGGAAAACUGCAGCCUGGUCCAUGUGUGUUGAAAAUAUCUCCCAAGAAGAAUGCUUAUGGGCAAGUGAUAUACCCUGCCCUAGUUUGGCUCUCAAGCCCAGGAGCUGGUUCUCCACCUGCCCAUGUAUCCCCUGAUGCCAUUCUACAUGUGGAUGGUGAAGAACUUCUUAGUAAGCUCGAGGUUGAUGAUGUUGUGACAUUAUUAGAUGCUCGUGGAAAACAAAGGACACUUAAGAUCAUAAGCAGGCAUCCUAUUUUCUCAGGCGUCGGAUAUAUGGCUGAGUGCAGUAAGGCUGCUUAUGUCAAGUCAGGUGCAAAAUUAUAUAUCAAGGACAAGAGAAGGAAAUCAUCAGCUGGACAUGUAGUAGAUAUUCCUCCUCUCAAGCAGUUUAUCAAAUUAAGGGUUGAUGACUUGCUGAGUAUAUCACGAGAUGGUCAAAAUGAAGAAAACAAUUUGACUUCUUCCACUGGUGUGCACAGGAUAGCCUGCUCAUCUGAAUAUGUUUUUGAUUCAGUGAAGCCUGGGGAACCUAUUGCUUUUG
rnacentral:misc_RNA from 1 species